GAUGAACGCUGGCGGCGUGCCUAAUACAUGCAAGUCGAGCGAACAGACGAGGAGCUUGCUCCUCUGACGUUAGCGGCGGACGGGUGAGUAACACGUGGAUAACCUACCUAUAAGACUGGGAUAACUUCGGGAAACCGGAGCUAAUACCGGAUAAUAUAUUGAACCGCAUGGUUCAAUAGUGAAAGACGGUUUUGCUGUCACUUAUAGAUGGAUCCGCGCCGCCUUAGCUAGUUGGUAAGGUAACGGCUUACCAAGGCAACGAUGCGUAGCCGACCUGAGAGGGUGGUCGGCCACACGGGAACUGAAACACGGUCCAGAGUCCUACGGUAGGGAGCAGUAGGGAAUCUUCGGCAGUGGGCGGAAGCCUGACGGAGCAACGCCGCGUGAGAGAUGACGGUCUUCGGAUCGUAAAACUCUGUUAUUAGGGAAGAACAAAUGUGUAAGUAACUAUGCACGUCUUGACGGUACCUAAUCAGAAAGCCACGGCUAACUACGUG
rnacentral:rRNA from 1 species